ensembl:lincRNA Gm44398 predicted gene, 44398
GGAUAUCAGAGAACUGGAACAAUACAGGUUCAGACUGAGCAAUUGGGCUGAGACCUGAGUUUGCACUAUAGCAAGCUCCCAGGCUACGCAGGUCCUUCUAGACCAUGGAUCCUCCUUUGAGGAGCAAGGGGAUUGAAUGCAUAAGUGAAGAAACGUUCUCGUCUGCCACAAUGCUCUAGAUGCUGAGAUGGGGAGGAAGAGUUGAACAGAGAGACCUGUGCCAAGUGGGACAUCCUCAGCUUCACUCUGCAGAGGGGAAACUUCAUCUUUUAAAGAGGAUUGGUCGGAUGAUUAAGGAUAAUGCAUGCCAUAGGAGCAGCUAAAUGAAAAUAAAGUUCCUUGUAGCCCAUUACCCUGAGAGAUUCGAAGUUGGAACAAACUUUACUAGAAGGAUGACAGUUGGUGCCCCAGGUGCAUCUGCCUCACUGCUCACCUUAGCUCAUCUCCAUAACUGCCCCGUCUAUCUCUGCACCCAAGAUUCACUCAAAAAGGCUACACUGCGCUAUGUUGCUUCCCUGGAGCUUGUUACAGAGAAUUUCUUUACCAUUUGAGGAAUGUGUUCAAGAUGCCGUGACAGAUUUGCAGAAAUCCUUCCGGUCCCUCCCUUCCUUUGCCUCCUGUGAUUGUUUUCUUCUCCCUCCUGAAUGGGAUUGAAGAAGCAUCCUCAUUUGGGCUCCAAGGCCUGAUACUAUUAACUGAUGCUAUGGUGUGCUUAUAGCCUAGCAUGGCUGUCCUCCAAGAAGCCCAACAAGCAACUGACUGAGUCAGACACAGAAACUAAGACCCAAGCAUUGGACUGAAGUCUAAGACCCCUGUGGUUGAACUAGGGAAAGGCUGGAAGAAGAUGAAGAGGGUGGCCCCAUAGGAAGACCAGCAGUUUCAACUAAUCCUGACCCCUAAGAUCUCUCAGACAUUGAACCACCAACCAAGCAACAUACACGAGCUGAUCUGAGGCCCCACAACACAUAUAUAGCAGAGGACUGGCUGGCCUGGCCUCAGUGAAGAAGAUGCACCUAACCCUCUAGAGACUUGAGGCCCCAGGGAGUGGGGAGGCCUGACGGUGGG